GUCGGAGGGCAGUUUUAGGAUCAGUAAUCCAGGCCUGAUAAACGAACUGGAGGGAAAAACCAAUUUAUUCCAAGUUCCUCACACUAAAGCCUACAAGCAAGCUCAUUGGAUUUGAACUCUUAUAGUGAAUUCAAAAUGUUUUUAGUGCGUCUUGCACAUAAGUGACAUACUGUAUACAUUAUGCAUAGCAUCACAAAUAGUACUAAAGGAAGUCCCAAGACAGGCUAAUGGAUUACUGAUACCAGAAUGAUGAUGCACAUGGACAGGAAGUGUGAAGGCAGCACUCCGAAAAAAGGAAACCCACAAGAAUCUAACAUUAAAUCAGAUUCACUUAUAUUGCCUUAAUCCAGAGGAACUAAAGGAACACCAAGAUGCUUCACUUUGAAUCAAGAUAUGCAUGCAUGAAUCAAGUUGCUGGAUGCUGGUGCAGCUAAAUACUUACCUUUCUCUACCUAUGAUAUAAAUUUAUUUUGAUUACCUCAUGACCCCGCCCCCCCAUUUGACUAUUACGCUGAAUAAAAAAAUACUUGU